GGCAGUUUAGCUUAAUUGGUAAAGCACUUGACUGAUAAUCAUAGGGAUGUGAAUUCGAGUCUCAUGGCUGAUU
rnacentral:tRNA from 1 species